CUUGUUUCUUGGCCUUUUGGCUAAGUUCAUAUGUAGUAUCUGUUCUUAUCAGUUUAAUAUCUGACUUCAAACAUAGAUAUUCAAAAAGUCAUGGUGGAAGGAUUUUACCAUAC
ensembl:snRNA U2 U2 spliceosomal RNA